rnacentral:tRNA from 1 species
AGCCCCGAGGUGUCUUACAUGCCAGAUUGCAAAUCUGGAGUAGUAGGCUAGCCCCUACCGGGGCUU